AGCAGUCGCCGAGGUAAUACAGAGGGUGCAAGCGUUAAUCGGAAUUACUGGGCGUAAAGCGCGCGUAGGUGGUUUGUUAAGUUGGAUGUGAAAGCCCCGGGCUCAACCUGGGAACUGCAUCCAAAACUGGCAAGCUAGAGUACGGUAGAGGGUGGUGGAAUUUCCUGUGUAGCGGUGAAAUGCGUAGAUAUAGGAAGGAACACCAGUGGCGAAGGCGACCACCUGGACUGAUACUGACACUGAGGUGCGAAAGCGUGGGGAGCAAACAGGAUUAGAUACCCCGGUAGUCCCUGUCUCUUAUAC
rnacentral:rRNA from 1 species